CAGAGCACCUUGCUCACUGCUGAGACGUCGACGUCGGAAAACCGCCGCCUGGAUCCCUGGGAAGUUACCCCUGCUUGUUGUGUGAGGCUGCUUUGCGCACACCCUCCUGUCAUGCCUCAGCACAAAGUGGAUGAAUGCCUUCUCCACAGAAGAAUGGAGCUCAUCUUUCAUGGUCAAUCUAAGAAAACCCAAAGAACAAGGCUGCCCUUGCGUUUUCUGCACAUUUCAGCCACUCCUGUGGGCCCUGCUGCCUGCUCAGUGUAGCCAGCGCUCCAAGUGCAUUGCCAGAUUCAGCCAUCACAGCCACAUUCCAGCAAGUGUUGCUACCCCCAUGUAAGAGAGAAGCAAGAAGAUUCGACACAUUAAGUGAAAUUGUCACUGAGCACCUAAGAGCAAGCAUGCCUGAUUCUAAAACUUAAAUUCGUAUCCACUGAGUUUGCUGCCUCUGAAAAGCCAGUAGCAAUGAUUGCAGUUCACUCCCAGACCCCUUCAAGGCCAGGAAUCUUUUCAUUUUAUCAAGGUUGACUCACCCCCAUGGAUGCAUGCAUAAGGAAUUUAGACUUGAUGAGCCUGCCUUGAAUUAUUGUCAUAGACAAUGGUACUUAAAGGAGCAGAAAUUCUUUCUUUCCUUUCCAACUUAGCUAUCAAUGUAUUGCACAAUCAGAAUGGUUUGGGUUAAUGUUGGAAAUAUCUCUCUGUAUUUCAUUUCUAUGAAUGUGUAUUUCUAUGAAUGUGUAUUUCCUUACGGAAACUGUCACCAACCUUAGAAAAACUAGAACACGGCAAAUCGCUACAGUUAAGACAUUUUGAAACUUCUAUUUGCCCUGAAGCCAAAAGCACCGUAACUGCUAUCAUCAUUCACUAUUUAAUUGCUCAGUUCCUGUUUGGAAUUGUGCUAUAAAACUCAGUGUCCUACUUGUUAUUCUGAUUUUGAUUCUAGUUUUCAAUCAUAGUUUUGAAAAGUUGCUUUGAUGAAGGGCUCAAGUAUUGCAGUUAUAGAGGUCACCACCUAUAAUCUCUCUAAUAAAAAAUUUCAAAUGAAUCACAGCCAUUCUAAUAAUGUUGCGGCCAUGCUACAUUGCUCAUAAUUCAGAAUAUAACACAGAGCCCUUACAGGUCUUUCAGAUAGGCUUUUUUUUUUUAUCUGUUUAAUAAGCAAAAAAAAAGUGAAGGCUUCUAUAAGGAUCAGGAUGGACAUGCUCAGUUAGACAAGUAGAAAAAGGUUUUACAAAGAAUUGA